UACGAACCGUGCAAACGUUAUUCGGAAUCACUGGGCAUAAAGGGCGCGUAGGCGGCUUUCUAAGUCAGGGGUGAAAUCCGGCAGCUCAACUGUCGCAGUGCCUUUGAUACUGGAGAGCUCGAGGGAGGUAGGGGUCUGUGGAACUUCCGGUGGAGCGGUGAAAUGCGUUGAUAUCGGGAGGAACGCCGGUGGCGAAAGCGACGGACUGGAUCUCUUCUGACGCUGAGGCGCGAAAGCCAGGGGAGCAAACGGG
rnacentral:rRNA from 1 species